rnacentral:lncRNA from 1 species
UCAAGGUGGUGAGAGGCCUUGCCUGGAAGAAGAGCAGGUUACACCAAGAUGGGGAAUGGAGUAGUGUGCAGCUGCCACCAGCCAGGCGGAGACUUUAGGAUUCACUUCUGGACAGGGACAGGGAAAACAUUUUCCUUUCAAUGCCUCGAGGCCCUUCAGCAACUGUAGGAGCGGGCGUGGUGUCGUCGCUACUGUCAAAUCCUGGACCCGGCAGCCGACUUUUUCCUGACUUGGACAUCAGCAGCGGAAGCAAGGGAAGUUUCAAGACACACAGUAAAGUUUGCUUCAGUCCAGGGAUCACAGUGCACAAAACCAGAGCAUACUUCUCUCUGAGCUCUCCGUGAUGUUGAAAAAGAAGCUUCUUCAAGGAUGACCAAAUGCUUACCCCGCCUUGUGCCCAGCUCAGUGCAGACAGAAGUCACUACACUGAACGAGAACUACAACCAGGAAGCAGUCUCCACCCUGAGAAGCAGCCAUUAGUACACAGAGGAGAUUCCAUGGACACGGGGCCAUCCACAGGAACACAAACAACCCAUCAGCUGCCAAACUGCUGAAGAAAAGUGACUCCCCUCCUCCAGCAGG